rnacentral:rRNA from 1 species
UACAGAGGAGCCAAGCGUUGUCCGGAUUGACUGGGCGUAAAGCGCACGCAGGCGGUCGUGCGCGUGGGGUGUGAAAUCUGGCCGCUUAACGGCCAGGCGCCAUCCCAUACGGCACGACUGGAGCGAUGCAGAGGUCGGUGGAAUUGCCGGUGUAGUGGUGAAAUGCGUAGAGAUCGGCAGGAACACCCAGGGGGGAAACCAGCCGACUGGGGCAUCUGCUGACGCUGAGGUGCGAGAGCGUGGGGAGCGAACCGG